AUUGAACGCUGGCGGCAGGCUUAACACAUGCAAGUCGAGCGGGGAAGGGUAGCUUGCUACCUAACCUAGCGGCGGACGGGUGAGUAAUGCUUAGGAAUCUGCCUAUUAGUGGGGGACAACAUUCCGAAAGGAAUGCUAAUACCGCAUACGCCCUACGGGGGAAAGCAGGGGAUCUUCGGACCUUGCGCUAAUAGAUGAGCCUAAGUCAGAUUAGCUAGUUGGUGGGGUAAAGGCCUACCAAGGCGACGAUCUGUAGCGGGUCUGAGAGGAUGAUCCGCCACACUGGGACUGAGACACGGCCCAGACUCCUACGGGAGGCAGCAGUGGGGAAUAUUGGACAAUGGGCGAAAGCCUGAUCCAGCCAUGCCGCGUGUGUGAAGAAGACCUUUUGGUUGUAAAGCACUUUAGGCGAGGAGGAGGCUACCGAGAUUAAUACUCUUGGAUAGUGGACGUUACUCGCAGAAUAAGCACCGGCUAACUCUGUGCCAGCCGCCGCGGUAAUAC
rnacentral:rRNA from 1 species